rnacentral:rRNA from 1 species
AUGACAAGUAACCUGGUAGAAUGCUUCAACAGUGUGCUCAAGGGUGUCUGUGCAUUGCCCGUGACGGCAAUAGUUCAAUACACAUUCGACAAGAUGAAUGCAUAUUUUCUAAAGUACUCACUUGAAACGGAAAGAAGAUUGGAGAACAAGCACAAGUACAAGUACAAGUUGCUACCAAAGGUUGAUGAAUGGAUGGAAUUUCAAUCAUAGAAGGCGAAUUCCCAACAAGCUACAUUAUAUAAUAGCGAUGAGUGGAUUUACCAAGUGAAUAAGCUAGGAGGAACCACAAAUGAUGGCCAACAACACGAAGAUCGGGCAUUCAAGGUCUCGCUAGCGUGCCUGUGCUCUUGCAGGAGGCAAUUGUUCCUUCAUCUCACAUGCUCACAUUUGUAUAUGGCAGCUCGCACUAGGAAUGUGGACAUUAAUCACCCGCUCACCAUGAGGGAGCCCGAGUUCUUGAUCAUGACCACCGAGAAUAUAUUGGCUCAUAGAUUUCACCCAUACUAUGAUCAAUCACAAUGGCUCGAGUAUCAUGGAGUUCAACUAUGGCCUAAUCCGAAAUGGAAGGUCAUUAAAUGUGGAAGGCCUAAGUGA